rnacentral:rRNA from 1 species
GUGGGGAAUAUUGCGCAAUGGGCGAAAGCCUGACGCAGCGACGCCGCGUGAGGGAUGAAGGUUUUCGGAUCGUAAACCUCUGUCAGAAGGGAAGAAACUACAUUGUGCUAAUCAGCAGUGUACUGACGGUACCUUCAAAGGAAGCACCGGCUAACUCCGUGCCAGCAGCCGCGGUAAUACGGAGGGUGCAAGCGUUAAUCGGAAUUACUGGGCGUAAAGCGCACGUAGGCUGUAGUGUAAGUCAGGGGUGAAAUCCCACGGCUCAACCGUGGAACUGCCUUUGAUACUGCACAACUUGAAUCCGGGAGAGGGUGGCGGAAUUCCAGGUGUAGGAGUGAAAUCCGUAGAUAUCUGGAGGAACAUCAGUGGCGAAGGCGGCCACCUGGACCGGUAUUGACGCUGAGGCGCGAAAGCGUGGGGAGCAAACAGGAUUAGAAACCCCUGUAGUCC